UGGUGGAGUGAUUUGUCUGCUUAAUUGCGAUAACGAACGAGACCUUAUACUACUAAAUAGCCAGGCUCGCUUUGGCGGGUCGCCGGCUUCUUAGAGUGACUUUCGGCUCAAGCCGAAGGAAGUUUGAGGCAAUAACA
rnacentral:rRNA from 1 species